ensembl:lncRNA
AACCUUGAAAGAGUCCAAAGAUAACUUGCAUUUCAUAUUCUGGCAGCUACGUAUUCAUAAACUAACCCACUCAAGAGGUAAUAUUUAUAUUGUGAAAUAUUUUAAUGAUUUUAUAAUGAAUCAGUUUUUACUGGUUAUUCUUUGGCUCCAUGGGGAAAAAGAUUUGAAUUUUAAGAGAAGGCUGAAAUACUGUCGUUUGUCCAGAGCUACCUGAUCACGAAACACAGAACUGAAAGAUGGUUGGGCUAGCUACUAUUUCUCUAAAAGGUUACUACAGUAUCUAAAUGUUUGAUCCCUUAUGUGAGAAUGAGGAGCUUCCUUCACAUUUUGGCAUCCUCUAUCUUAAGUGGAAGUUUCUGGUCAUUUUUCAAUUUCGGGAGGACCUUUUCUAACAGAGAUUGUGUGUCAUUCUUACAGAAGCUAUGUCCACAUUUUGGAAAAGAAUUUUUUAACAAAGUUUAGCCAAAGGAUGAGAAAUCAAGCUGUGUGUGUGCGCGCGCUCACUGAAGUCCAGGCAUUAGGAGACAGGUUAUUUGGAGAGGUGGACUGGAUCCUGCACUGUGGCCUUAAACAUGGUAAAGUUCACCAGUGCUUCAUUUCUUUGCUGGGCACAGUAUUUUAGGGUAAAAAAAAUUCCAAAUGAGUUUAUGAGCAUAAUUGUAUUUAUAGGCUUUAAGAGGAAUUAGGCUUAGUUCCCUAGAAUUACACAGAACCUCACAUUAGAAGCUUUACCAUAUUUUUGUUUAUUGAAUAUCAGAGGUCAUUUUAUAAAGUGUUCUGAAUAUAUAGGUAUGAGAAUGAAGUCCUAAACCAAAAUAAGUAGCCUGUUAGGUGUGAGUGUUCCAAAAGAUAGAAGAAAACAAGAUGCUUAGUUACUACACCCGAGUUGCUUAUAUGGUGAUCAGGAAUGUUCAGACAGUAAGGAUUUGGGGGCUCCCCAGGGCAGAUAUUGCACCUCCACCAUUCAGAUGUAUACCCCACCUGCCCCCCAUUCCUGCACUUGCAAUUCAGGGGAGCCUGGGCCUUGCUUUCCCACCUGGGGCUUGGGUUUACUGAACAGGCUAGGCAUUCCAGCUCAGAAGCAGCAAAACCAACUGAACAGCCUCCUUUCAUAAGACUGACAGGAGCUGUUAGUACUUUGGAGGUCAGCAACAGAAUAGUUCAUGACACCAGGGUGGGGUCAUACCGCGUUAGAGGUGAAGACUCGAUGGGCCGUUGCUGUCCAACCUGUGCAUUUUUACAGAGCAGUGGACAUAGAACCACCGACAGGCAGAGGGUUGCUCCAGGACAAACUGUGUAUUGAAACAAUGUAGCAGAGCCGGGCUCAUAGCAGGUGCAAAAAAUGUGACCCUUUCCCUCCCUUUUAAAUCUUCCUCCUUACCCUGCUUCUUUACCUCCUUCUCCUGCUGUGGCUACUCUGCUGUGAAGACAGCCAGCGAUGGGAGUCUCCAGAGAGCUGGCACUGCUUAUGUGUCUUAGAACUGCAGCAUGGUCUUCCCAAAGAUCACAGAAGGAAGGGUGAUAGUACACGACACAUGACAAUGACUUCUGAAAGAUGAAUGAAAUUUACAUUCGUUGAUACAAAACAAGAAAACAAAACUGUACAUUUCCAGCAGUGAGAAAUACGUCCUAGUUUAUUUACAUACAUAUAUAUACAUAUAUGUGCAUAUAUACAUAUGUAUAUGUUUUUAUAAUUGAGAUUAGAAUUACAUAUUGUGAAAUUAUAUUUUUUUUCUCUUUUGCAGUGCUAGGGAUUGAAUCCAAAGUCUUGUGCAUGUUAGGCCAGGACUCUACCAGUGAACUACAUCCUCAGCCCCUAACCAUUUUAUGGUGAGCAAUUCAGUGGCAUUUACUACAUUCAUAAUGUUCUGAAACCACCACCUCUGGUUCCAAAAUAUUUGUAUCAUUUCAAAAGAAAACCCUGUACCCAGUCCUUGAUCUAGUCUGGAAAUUUCAUAUAAACAGAAUCAUACAAUAAGUGAUUUUUAUAUCUAUCUUCUUUUCGUUGUUCAACCAUAUUGUAGCGGUACUACUUUCCAUUUUAAGGCUGAAUAAUAUUCCAUUUUAUGUAUGUAGCAUAAUUCCUUUAUCCAUUCUUCCAUUGAUAAACACAAAUUAUUUCCACCUUUUGGCUGUUGUGAAUAGUGCUGUUAUGAACAUGCAUAGACGUGUAUUUGCUUGAGUCUCUGCUUGCAGUUCUUUGGGUAUAAUAUUUAAGAGUGACCUCCUGGAUCAUAUGGUAAUUCUUAUGGCUUGUGUCUAGAUGUUCCCCUCAAAGCCCCAUGCAGUCGUAGGUGGGGCUUUUUCUGAGGUGGAUAAAUCUAUAGCAUAUGAUACUGGGAUUAAGGGUGUGUGAUUACUAAACCACAUGAGUGAUUGAUUUGGCACCGCCCAAAUCCCAAUAAACUGGAUGGGGUAAAAGGGGGCAGAAAGACCCUGUUAAAGUCUCUUGCUUUUUCUGUCUUCUGCUGCCAUGAACUGUUGCCCCUCUGCCACUCUGCCUUGGAGCCAGUAAAUUAUGGACUGAAACCUCUACGAACUUCAGUCUUUUCCAUUUCUUCUCAAUGUUGGGGAGAAAACCCAGGACCUCAGGUAUGCUGGGCAAGUAUUCUGCUGCUGACCUGCAUGCAGCCCUAACAGUGCACUCUGAACACAGGUGGAUGACAGCAGCUUCUCCAAAUGGACAGAUGAGAAAUUCAACUACUGGAU